rnacentral:rRNA from 1 species
AGGACGAACGCUGGCGGCGUGCUUAACACAUGCAAGUCGAGCGAGGCCCUGUCUUCGGACAGGUGCCCUAGCGGCGAACGGGUGAGUAACACGUGGGCAACCUGCCCCUAGCACUGGGAUAACUCCGGGAAACCGGGGCUAAUACCGGAUAUGACCUCCGAGGGCAUCCUCGUUGGUGUAAAGGAUUCUGGCUAGGGAUGGGCCCGCGGCCUAUCAGCUUGUUGGUGGGGUAAUGGCCUACCAAGGCGACGACGGGUAGCCGGCCUGAGAGGGCGACCGGCCACACUGGGACUGAGACACGGCCCAGACUCCUACGGGAGGCAGCAGUGGGGAAUAUUGCACAAUGGGCGAAAGCCUGAUGCAGCGACGCCGCGUGAGGGAUGACGGCCUUCGGUUGUAAACCUCUUCAGCUCCGACGAAGCGAAGUGACGGUAGGAGCAGAGAAGCACCGGCCAACUACGCGCCAGCAGCCGCGGUAAC